rnacentral:rRNA from 1 species
UACGUAGGCAGCGAGCGUUGUUCGGAAUUACUGGGCGUAAAGAGUGUGUAGGCGGUGCUCUAAGUCAGGUGUGAAAGCCCCGGGCUCAACCUGGGAAUGCCAUUUGAGACUGCAUAGCUAGGGUACGGAAGAGGGAAGCGGAAUUUCAGGUGUAGCGGUGAAAUGCGUAGAUAUCUGAAGGAACACCAGUGGCGAAAGCGGCUUCCUGGUCCAGUACCGACGUUCAGGCACGAAAGCGUGGGGAGCAAACAGG